rnacentral:lncRNA from 1 species
ACAAAGCAACUGACCCCUUUGACUAAGCAACAUACGUGAGACUCACACCUUUAAGUAGCAAGUUCUUGCUCGAUUUUCUUUGACUUUAGCCUCCACCAAAAGUUGGCACGUGAUCAUCAAUGGUGUUACAACGAAGGCUUGAUUUUCUCUCUAUUUACUAGACUAGCUCACUGAAAGAGUAGGUUGCAUAUGUUCCUUACCAUCGUAUGAAGCUUCUUUGCGAAACACAAUACACGCACACAUACAUGCAUGCUGUUAACGGCAGUUAGCACGCUAGUUUGUGAACCGCAAGCGCACGGAUCAUUGUAGCUUUUUCCUCAGAGUAUUCCAUCCAAGAUUUAUCAAUCCGUGGAUCGGCAGCGAACUAACUAGGAUUUUCCAUCUAAUCUAACGGAUCUAAUCCUAACAUGAAGCAUAGAUUGCAUAUGAAAAGGGUAAUCUUGGUGUAAAGGUAAAUCAUGAGAACAAGUAGAUCACAUCCACAGAUACGUAUAUGAUAAAACACCACCAAGGGUAGUAAGAGCCUAUCGUCUUCUAGUUGAAGCAAGCACAACACAUCCAAGGUUUAUCAAUCCGUGGAUUGGCAGUGAACUAACUAGGAUUUUCCAUCUAAUCUAACGGAUCUAAUCCUAACAUGAAGCAUAGAUUGCAUAUGAAGAGGGUAACCUUGGUGUAAAGGUAAAUCAUGAGAACAGGUAGAUCACAUCCACAGAUAUGUAUAUGAUAAACAUCACCAAGGGUAGUAAGAGCCUAUCAUCUUCUAGUUGAAGCAAGUACAAUAUGCAUCUCAUCCAAAGCAAUCUUUAAACUACUACCUCCGGUCAACCUCCCAAAAACCCCCCACCUUACACAAGCUAGAUCCUAUCACGAUCCUCUCUAUCAGCG